UUACCCAUAAACACAUCUACAUAUAAAACAAUAAUCCACCCCAGUAGAGUCAUAUUACCCAUAAACACAACAGAAAUGGUUCCGAUGAUUUUUCAUGCCAUUUAAUAUUUCACGUCGUGAAUUGUACAAUCAUUUCAUACUCAGCGUGUAUUUGGUGAAGGUUGACUGUGUGGUGUAGGUUGACUGUGUGGUGUAGGUUGACUGUGUGGUGUAGGUUGACUGUGUGGUGUAGGUUGACUGUGUGGUGUAGGUUGACUGUGUGGUGUAGGUUGACUGUGUGGUGUAGGUUGACUGUGUGGUGUAGGUUGACUGUGUGGUGUAGGUUGACUGUGUGGUGUAGGUUGACUGUGUGGUGUAGGUUGACUGUGUGGUGUAGGUUGACUGUGUGGUGUAGGUUGACUGUGUGGUGUAGGUUGACUGUGUGGUGUAGGUUGACUGUGUGGUGUAGGUUGACUGUGUGGUGUAGGUUGACUGUGUGGUGUAGGUUGACUGUGUGGUGUAGGUUGACUGUGUGGUGAAGGUUGACUGUGUGGUGUAGGUUGACUGUGUGGUGUAGGUUGACUGUGUGGUGUAGGUUGACUGUGUGGUGUAGGUUGACUGUGUGGUGUAGGUUGACUGUGUGGUGUAGGUUGACUGUGUGGUGUAGGUUGACUGUGUGGUGUAGGUUGACUGUGUGGUGUAGGUUGACUGUGUGGUGUAGGUUGACUGUGUGGUGAAGGUUGACUGUGUGGUGUAGGUUGACUGUGUGGUGUAGGUUGACUGUGUGGUGUAGGUUGACUGUGUGGUGUAGGUUGACUGUGUGGUGUAGGUUGACUGUGUGGUGUAGGUUGACUGUGUGGUGUAGGUUGACUGUGUGGUGUAGGUUGACUGUGUGGUGAAGGUUGACUGUGUGGUGUAGGUUGACUGUGUGGUGUAGGUUGACUGUGUGGUGAAGGUUGACUGUGUGGUGUAGGUUGACUGUGUGGUGUAGGUUGACUGUGUGGUGAAGGUUGACUGUGUGGUGUAGGUUGACUGUGUGGUGUAGGUUGACUGUGUGGUGUAGGUUGACUGUGUGGUGUAGGUUGACUGUGUGGUGUAGGUUGACUGUGUGGUGUAGGUUGACUGUGUGGUGUAGGUUGACUGUGUGGUGUAGGUUGACUGUGUGGUGUAGGUUGACUGUGUGGUGUAGGUUGACUGUGUGGUGUAGGUUGACUGUGUGGUGAAGGUUGACUGUGUGGUGUAGGUUGACUGUGUGGUGUAGGUUGACUGUGUGGUGUAGGUUGACUGUGUGGUGUAGGUUGACUGUGUGGUGUAGGUUGACUGUGUGGUGAAGGUUGACUGUGUGGUGAAGGUUGACUGUGUGGUGAAGGUUGACUGUGUGGUGUAGGUUGACUGUGUGGUGUAGGUUGACUGUGUGGUGUAGGUUGACUGUGUGGUGAAGGUUGACUGUG